rnacentral:rRNA from 1 species
AAUGGGCGCAAGCCUGAUGCAGCGACGCCGCGUGAGGGAUGGAGGCCUUCCNCNUUGUAAACCUCUUUUGUUUGGGAGCAAGCCUUCGGGUGAGUGUACCUUUCGAAUAAGCGCCGGCUAACUACGUGCCAGCAGCCGCGGUAAUACGUAGGGCGCAAGCGUUAUCCGGAUUUAUUGGGCGUAAAGGGCUCGUAGGCGGCUCGUCGCGUCCGGUGUGAAAGUCCAUCGCUUAACGGUGGAUCUGCGCCGGGUACGGGCGGGCUGGAGUGCGGUAGGGGAGACUGGAAUUCCCGGUGUAACGGUGGAAUGUGUAGAUAUCGGGAAGAACACCGAUGGCGAAGGCAGGUCUCUGGGCCGUCACUGACGCUGAGGAGCGAAAGCGUGGGGAGCGAACAGGAUUAGAUACCCUGGUAGUCCAAGGGCGAAUUC